rnacentral:rRNA from 1 species
UACGUAGGGCGCAAGCGUUAUCCGGAAUUAUUGGGCGUAAAGAGCUCGUAGGCGGUUUGUCGCGUCUGCUGUGAAAGACCGGGGCUCAACUCGGUUCUGCAGUGGGUACGGGCAGACUAGAGUGCAGUAGGGGAGACUGGAAUUCCUGGUGGUAGACGGUGAAAUGCGCAGAUAUCAGGAGGAACACCGAUGGCGAAGGCAGGUCUCUGGGCUGUAACGUGACGCUGAGGAGCGAAAGCAUGGGGAGCGAACAGG